CAGCAGAUUCAUCCAUUUGAAAAAGCAAAGCCGUCUUGACUGUGUGUGAGCACACCUGGCUGUCCCGUGUGGCUGGAUUACUGCGUUCUGUUGAAUCUUAUUCUGUGGUUGGCUGUAUUCCUCUGAUAACUGUUCGGUGACAGAACAAAAUCUACACUUGAAUUCCUGAGCAACCAGUUUCUUCUGUGGAUGCUGCUUUGCCUCUGUGCUCAGAUGAAGCUGCGAGUUCAACACGGGCCACUGGGGCUGCCUGUAACCCUGGGACUAAUGGCGUUGCCAGGCGUCUACUCCAUCCUUUCUCCACGGCCCCUGCUUUCCCUCCGCUUCCACGUCUCGACCUUGUGAAAAGGGCUCCCUUCCUGAGAAACUUAGGAACCAUGGACUGACUGGGUCACGACCAAGCUGAUUCCUGUCUCUUUCCUCACCCACGUACAACGACCCCUUUCAACAAGGGUCAGCGCCAGAUGUGUAACUGGAUACAGAGCAACAAGCAGGAGAAGGGGGCAGGAGCGUCGGGUCAUGCUGGGCCCCCGCCAGGCCUUCCUGCUCCGAUGCUGCACCCCAUAAACAGGAGGAAAGGGACAUGCUGCUGUCACGGCCGUGGGCGUGUCGGGCCGGGAGCUCUGGGGCCAGCCAGCAGGUGCUGGUCCCCCACGAAAGCCCAGCCACUAUGCUCUCAGCACCUCUGUUGACCACUUGCAAAGCGACAGAAUUAGAAGAGAGAGACUCUCAGGGCAUCUCCAGCUUUGAAACUCUAUCAUGGGAUAAAAGACCAUCCUGACCUGAAGCAUUUAGGCCACUCUCCUUUGGGGGGUGAGACUUGCAUCUUUUGCAGCUCAGAAUUUUUGAAUAAAGAGCUGGCGGUAGGGUGACUCAAACUCAGCUUCUGAAAGCAAGACAAUCAUAUAACUUACUCAAUUUCUCCACUCCUCCUAAAGGGGGGGGGGGGUGCGAGGAAAGAGGAAAGUGGCAUCUGAGAGACACUCAGAAGUGACUUUGUCCUUUUGUGUGUGUGAAUGGCUCCUAGCCCAUUGCCUGUUCUGCUUGAAGAAAAGGAAACUGGGACGAGGACAAGCUGAGUGUUCAGAGAAGAUGGGGAAGGUGAGGCUCGGCGAUGGCCCAUGCUUUCUCCCCGCUUUCCUCCUGACCAUUCAUUUCUGAUCCUUUCUGCAAACAAAAGCUCCCCCGGAGAAUCUCAUGACUCUGACUGAGCUGACCCAAGCUUUGGAGCUUUGGAAUCUGGGAUUCUGAGAUUUGGAGGUGGCACUCACGUUUGUUGCUCAGGGUCGGAAGUUUGAGUGUUUGAUCAAGUUUGGGAAGGUGGCGGGGAUAAACAGUGCUCAGGGCCAGUCUGAGCUGCAAUACAGAGCUAGCUUUAGAGACAGAGGAGCAGGCCACCUGCCAGUUGACCCCGAGAAGCCAAAGGAGAGAGCAAUGACACAGCAAAGCCGCCAUCUCUGGAUGAGGGACUCCUUUGCCAGAGUUGCCCUUCACAGGAUGAGCCCGACAGUGGAGGCAGAGCAACUUCCUUAAGUGUCUCCAAGCUCCCCUUGGUGGGCUGCGCGGUACAGGACUCUUGUAAGUGGCACCGUAAGCCUCCCAGACGUUUGCCCUCCACUCCUCCUGCUGCCCGGGCUCUCUUCUAGAAUUGGAAGAUUGUUCCGCCUGGUUUGUGGAGCCCUGAUUUCAUUCUUGCUGCUACCGAGGCUGCUGUGAUGGUUGGUGGAUGGAUGUCUUCAGGUCUUGGAGGCUGGGCAGACGAUGCUUUCACCGUGACUGACAGUGACAUCUCAGAAGCACUCCGUUUCUCUGACUUGGGGACCAAAGGAAAAACACGCACGUUGAGCCACCCGCCUGUGGCCGAAGAGACUGACUAAGCGUGGAAGAAGCGGGUCGCUGUAGCCAAUGGAGGAAAGGGCUCAGCACACUCCUUGCAGGAAUGGCCACAGCUUCCCAUCCCCAGGACACCCCCAGGACAGAGGGCCCAGCUCACAGGCUGGGCGCGGACAGCCAGAGGCCCUGAGUGGCUGCAGGUUCCCACCGGGCUGCGUCUGAGCCUGAUCUGCCUGCUCUGCACUCCAGAUGCAGGGGGCAGUGCGGGUGGUGGCCAGACACGACAGCCUCCUCACUGCAACCCUGGGGCUCAUUGGUCUCGUGACCUGGGCGAGUUAUUUACCCUCUUCGAGCUUUGACUCUCUGUCUAUGAAGCAAAGCUCAAAAGUCCCUCAAUUCAGAGUGAAGGAACUGGGAACACCGUAGAUGUUCAAUAAAGGCAUGUGUCCAUUCUUCUACGGGACCCUUGAUCAUUUGGCUUUCCAGCAUCUUUCUAAGGAAAAAAUUAAAGUGAAUUCUUCUCAUGAACUGCCACCUCUCAUAGCCGUAGGGGAAAAACCACUCUCUGGCCACGGCAACUUCCUCUUGUUCCUGGUGACGUCGCCAACUCCCCGUGUAUCCCUGAUCCCAGCCAUUUUCUGCUCCUUGUCUCAGUGUCCCAUCUGUGAAAAAGUCCCCGCCACCUACCGCCCUCAGUUGCACUGAACAGAAGUCCCUGAACCGCCCACCGCACCCAGCUCCGGGUCCCCCAUCUUCACCUCCGUGCAGAUGAUGUCCCCGUGCCCCUGGGUCGGGGGUGCUCAGAUUCCUGACACUGACUGUCACACCCACAGGCCAUAAGUUAGAGCUUACUGAGUAUGACUUCUGCAAUAAAGAUUAGACCCAGGUGA